rnacentral:rRNA from 1 species
UACGUAGGGUGCGAGCGUUGUCCGGAAUUACUGGGCUUAAAGCGCGUGUAGGCGGGGAGGCACGUCUGUCGCUUAAAUCCCACGGCUCAACCGUGGAACUGGCGCAGAUACGACCCCCCUGGAGGGGUGUAGGGGGACCUGGAACUUCCGGUGGAGCGGUGAAAUGCGUUGAGAUCGGAAGGAACGCCCGUGGCGAAAGCGAGGUCCUGGACACUUUCUGACGCUGAGACGCGAAAGCCAGGGGAGCAAACGGG